rnacentral:rRNA from 1 species
GUGGGGAAUAUUGCACAAUGGGCGAAAGCCUGAUGCAGCGACGCCGCGUGAGGGAUGACGGCCUUCGGGUUGUAAACCUCUUUCAGCAGGGACGAAGCGCAAGUGACGGUACCUGCAGAAGAAGCACCGGCUAACUACGUGCCAGCAGCCGCGGUAAUACGUAGGGUGCAAGCGUUGUCCGGAAUUACUGGGCGUAAAGAGUUCGUAGGCGGUUUGUCGCGUCGUUUGUGAAAACCAGCAGCUCAACUGCUGGCUUGCAGGCGAUACGGGCAGACUUGAGUACUGCAGGGGAGACUGGAAUUCCUGGUGUAGCGGUGAAAUGCGCAGAUAUCAGGAGGAACACCGGUGGCGAAGGCGGGUCUCUGGGCAGUAACUGACGCUGAGGAACGAAAGCGUGGGUAGCGAACAGGAUUAGAAACCCUUGUAGUCC